rnacentral:lncRNA from 1 species
AAAACUAACCAGACUGUCAUUCUUUCCUUUAAAGCUCUCUGCUGCUUAAGCCAUUGUCAUAAUCCACCUGUGUGUCAAAUUCAGGGAUUGUGUUAUAAUAUCAUUACAUACACGGAGAUGCCAGAGACUCUGGAAAAAUCUCUUUACUUUGCCAAAGCAAAUAAAUGAAGAAAGUCUCCAAGGACAAGAGCAACACAAUGUUCUUAUGGCACAAGGAUAAUAAUAAUUUUGAAGACCUAAUGCUCACCAAGACACUGAAAACAAGAUCCCAGGCAGAGUUUGAGUUCAUUCAGGAAAUGACAAAACCUGACGCCACUUCUGAGCUGAAAUCACUGGGA